AUAAAUUUUCAUUGUCGACACGAAACUACAUGAAGGAUUGUGUCCACAAUAAUAUUAAAUUUAUUUUUUAUGCGUGUGGGCUCCCCACAGUAGCUUGCUACUGUGGUCCAUAUACGUCGUCUGGGCGUUGCACUGCUGCCCUGGCACGGCGCACCCCAA
rnacentral:snRNA from 2 species